CUACCAGUGCAAACUGUGUACAACGCAUGCUAAUCCUGUACGCCGGGCACCAGCAGCUUGCCGCCAUAUUGCAAGAAAAAAUUUACCACGUUUGCAGACCUUGUUUUUCCUGUGUGACGGUUUCUUUUCCGUUUUUCCAGUUUUAACGGACGACUUCAUGACUUGAAUCGUCACAAAUUAUCAGGGAUUGUACUGGCUGGUGGAGAAAUCGUUCCGUCCUGCAGAAGAUAAGCUUGGAGCCCUCGGACAGUAUGCGAGUGUGGUGCCCAGUUAACAUCUGAUCAACUCCUGCCCUAAAUUCAGCUCUUCCUGUCACAACAAAGCCGGAUAGUCCUUGAUGACGACACCAUCAAAUGGCUGUGAGAAUACCAACCUACCAAUCUGACUUUGAUCCCAAGAUGGCUGCCUGGGAUAUCCACUACGUCUUUGUCUUGGCAAGGUGAAGCAGAGGAACCAUCAAUACAGUUGAAAUGUCCUACUAGAUAGGAAAUGACCACCAGCGGCAUUAGACAGGGAUCUUGAAUUCUUCAAGGAGUCCAGACUUUCACGAUGACUGCCUUCUGGUUUGACUGAGAUAUAAUUUGGAUAAAUAGUCAUACAGAUGGCUGUCAAGGAUAUCCACUACGACUUUGUCUUGGCAAGGUGAAGUAGACGAACCAUCAAUACAGUUGAAAUGUCCUACUAGAUAGGAAAUGACCACCAGCGGCAUUAGACAGGGAUCUUGGCUUCUUCAUGGAGUCCAGACUUUCACGAUGAAUGCCUUUCUUCUUGAAUCUGUUGUUUGACUGAAAUAUAAUGUGGAUAAACGGUCCAUACAGGGAAGCUGCCUUAUUGAUGCCUUCUACAGUUUCCCUUUCACUUCCAGCUGAUAAGGAUGAUCUUGGUAGUCGGCCCUCGCAGUCGAGAUGUCUUAACUAAUUAAAUACAGAAACUUGAUGAGGUCUGAGACAGGGAGAGGAUGUGAUGA